rnacentral:rRNA from 1 species
UACGUAGGUGGCAAGCGUUGUCCGGAUUUACUGGGCGUAAAGAGCGCGCAGGCGGUCGUUCAAGUCGCGUGUGAAAGCCCCCGGCUCAACUGGGGAGGGUCACGCGAUACUGAUCGACUCGAAGGCAGGAGAGGGAAGUGGAAUUCCCGGUGUAGUGGUGAAAUGCGCAGAUAUCAGGAGGAACACCAAUGGCGAAGGCAGCUCGCUGGGACGGUACUGACGCUGAGACGCGAAAGCGUGGGGAGCAAACAGG